rnacentral:rRNA from 1 species
CAAGAGUACGUGAAACCGUUUAGGGGUAAACCUGAGAAACCCGAAAGGUNGAAGGGAGAAAUUCAUUCGCGUUUCGACGUCGGCGUCGGACGGAGUCUCGAGCGACGGAACGUGUAGUUUUUCGGAACUGACGUUUUCGCGCCCUCCGUCCGUUCGAACCGACGGCGAACGCGUGCACUUUUCUCCUGGUAGGACGUCGCGAUUCGUCGGGCGUCGGUCUACGACUUGCGGUGGAGCCCGUCCGUGUCGCGUCUUAGUUGUACGCGUGCGGAAGGACCCGCUCGUUCCGGCCGACUCGCUCGACGGUAGACGUAAGGUCGGAGGCCGCUCGAUCUUUUUUUUUUUCUCGUUUGAAAAAUGAAAGAAAAGGAGCGUUCGACUCGUCGCAAGCGCGUCACGUGCGUCGGCACGCGGACCCAGUGCCGCGUCCGACCUCUGGCGACUGUUGGCGACGAAGUUCUCGGACAGACCUCUCGUAUUUAUAUUUUUUCUUUCGAUUUCGAUCGGACAGAAAGGUAUGGAUAGUAGUAGAGACCGAUCGGCGACGCUAUAGCUUUGGGUACUUUCAGGACCCGUCUUGAAACACGGACCAAGGAGUCUAGCAUGUGCGCGAGUCAUUGGGAACUCGACUAAACCUAAAGGCGCAAUGAAAGUGAGAGAGAGAAGGGGUCUUCCUCGCGAAGAUCUCGAGGGAAGACGGACGAUCGCACGGGAAAUUUUUAUUAAUUUCCGAUCGUCCCGCAUUCCCGGGGCGUCUCGUUCACAUCGCGUGAUGAGGCGCACCAAGAGCGUACACGCUGGGACCCGAAAGAUGGUGAACUAUGCCUGGUCAGGACGAAGUCAGGGGAAACCCUGAUGGAGGUCCGUAGCGAUUCU